UUGACUUCUCUGCCAGCAGGGAGGUGGCGGCUUCCGGGCUUGCGUGCGCUGGGUCGUAUACUAGCCAGAGGGAUUCUUGAGCCAGCUGUUUUGUCUGUUCAAAGCCUUUUUAAGACCACUCAUGGCCGACCCGAUCAGAACGGCUCUAGGUGGCAAGCUCCCUGACUAAGCACUGCAGCUCUUCUUCCAAUAUCGAGCCCUGUCCCACUGGUCCUGCCCAGCAGCCACAUGGAGUACUCAUGUAUGGAUGUGAGAGUUGGACUGUGAAGAAAGCUGAGUG